UUACAGCUGCAAGACCAUCAGCAGGAGCCAUCAUGGUGGGAAAAGGGAAACACUCGACACGUGUGCUGUCAUUCAGGAUGUGAAAAUUGUUGCAUCCAUCAUCUCAAAUGAACUGCCCAGCAAAAAGGGGAUUAGCUGCUGAACCCGAGAUGAAAGACUAAGGGAGUCAGUGUUUUAUAUUUUGUCAUCUUAAUAAACUUUCUUGGGUUACUUUUCC